UACGUAGGGGGCAAGCGUUGUCCGGAAUUAUUGGGCGUAAAGAGCGCGUAGGCGGUCCGAUAAGUCGGCUGUGAAAGUCAAGGGCUCAACCCUUGAAAGCCGGCCGAUACUGUCGGACUAGAGUCCGGAAGAGGCGAGUGGAAUUCCCGGUGUAGCGGUGAAAUGCGCAGAUAUCGGGAGGAACACCAAUGGCGAAGGCAGCUCGCUGGGACGGUACUGACGCUGAGGCGCGAAAGCCAGGGGAGCAAAGCGGG
rnacentral:rRNA from 1 species